rnacentral:lncRNA from 10 species
UUCUUUACAACAAAAUAAGUCUUUACUGAGUUUGGCUUUCUGGAGGAAUGGUUGUUACAGGUGGGGCUGUGCCCAUGGCUGGCUCCUGGAGACUCCUGGGCUCUGGCCCUGGCUGUGCAGAUGGCCAUUUGUCCUUCCUGUGCAGCUGACCAGUGCCAACAGCAGGGAGGUCUCUGGGGCCAUCAGUGCCAUCUGACGCUUGCUGCUCAGAUAUGGCCGUAGCCUGCAAGGCAAGUCUGGUCUCCCCCGCCCAGAGCUGGUGGCUGCAACCUGAGCCUGCAACCCAGAGGCCUUUGGCCCAUGCUCCCAGGACGCAGAGUUUCCUUUGGCCCCUUCUGCCGGUGCACCCCCACCCAAGCCCAGCUCCUGGGCACAGGAUGUGUGUGCACUUGGAGCAGAACAGAAAUCAGAGCUGGAGGCCUCUGAGCUGCUGUCUCCCCGCCCACCAGACGGGGCUCUUUGGAGAGGAUCUGCCAGGAAGAACUGAGGUCUUAUGCCACCUCCACCUCUACGUAACCUCAAACAGGCGUCAUCUUGUCUCCUGGCCUCAGUUUCCUCAUCUGUAAAACGGGGACACAUCAGGAUCUGCCCUCAGCAAGUUGCUGAGUGCCUGCCCUGAGCAGCCGGUAGGUGGCGCUGAUGGGCUGGUGGUUGGGUUGGGGGAGGCUCGCAUAGGGUCUCUGGAGGUCCCAGUAGGGCACUGGGGAGACCUCCCC